rnacentral:rRNA from 1 species
UACGGAGGGUGCGAGCGUUAUUCGGAAUUACUGGGCGUAAAGCGCGUGCAGGCGGGAGAGGGGGUCUGAUGUGAAAGCCCGGGGCUUAACCCCGGAAGAGCAUUGGAAACUGUUCUUCUUGAGUUUCGGAGAGGAAGGGGGAAUUCCCGGUGUAGAGGUGAAAUUCGUAGAGAUCGGGAGGAACACCAGUGGCGAAGGCGCCCUUCUGGACGACAACUGACGCUGAGACGCGAAAGCGUGGGGAGCAAACAGG